CCGCCCUUGCCGAGACCGUCGCCAAUAACCCAUUGUGCAGCUCAAGUGCGACGUACUUUAAAAAAAAAAAAAUUAGCAACAGCAAUCCCGAUAGUAAACAGAGCAUCAAAAAAGAAAUAGUCAUGUUAUGCUGUGACGUCACGGAGGAGCCCAAGACUUCCGUACAAAUCCUCUUCAUUUGGCAGAUGCUAUAAUGGAAGGAGACCAAUCAUCUCAGUCAAAUUUCCAAAGAACAGAGUUUACAACAUCACCAGUCAAAGAAACACAAGCUAAAGCUGUUAGAGAAUAUGAAGAAACAAUUAAUCAAUUAAGAAAGGAAAAUAGUGAUCUUAAAAAAAGAUUAUAUUUGUGUGAAGAGAAAUGCGAUGAUAUUCAAAUU